ACUGCUAAAUGAUAACGUUAUCGUAAUCUGAUCAAGACGAAAUAAUUUUGAACUUAGUUGAUACCUACCUACUUGAUAUUUUGUUAAUUGUUAUUACUUAUUAUUAUUUACCUACCUUACUUACUAUUUCACUAUUGUCAACAUUUUAUUUCGACUGAAAUCGACAUAUAUUAUUAUACUUCUCUAUGACUGAAAUAUGUCGCAUCGUUGCGGGCGGCGAGCCGGAGCAAAAUAGACAACCUACUCUUCGACCGACAACAACAGCGAUGACGUUCGUUCCUAUUAAAUCUAGUUUUCAGACCAAUUGGUUUGGUCAUUGGUUACGACUUUGCCCGCGCAGGAUUGCACGUUAAGCAUGUUGGACACAAGGUCUGGGCCUUUUAGUCGUGUUGGUUCCAAAGCGGAAGUUUCACUGCUGUGUUGUCCUUCUCAUACAGUGGUGCUGAAGUAAAAAUAUAAAUCUAGGACAAACAUCAAAAAUCAAAACACCGCCCUCAAAAUAUAUUACAAAAUGGUCAAUUCUAAAACCAGAUCUCUUAAUAUAUCUACUUACAGUUGAAACAGAAGAAAGGAUCAUCAAACAGCAUUGUCAUUACAAAAAUAUGUAUACAAAUAUGUUUGUCAAAUUGGAUAAAAAAAAUUAACUUACUGAAAAAGCUGACCUUUUGCACUUGUGAACAAGAUAUAAAAUUAUAUUAUAUUAUAUUAUAUUAUAUAAUUAUAUCAUAUUGGACAAAUUAAGAGGAAUAUGGAAAAUAUGCUGAUUAUGUGGAUUUAAAGCAACAAUAUCAACAAAUGCAGUAAUGAUCUUCGGUUUGUACAAUUCAUGAAACAGCGGCAUAGAACAAGAUACAGGACAUCUUAAUAUUGUUAUGGAAUGUCGAAAAGAAGAAAGUCAUUCAAGAUAGAUUCUUCAUAUUACACAAGUUUCCAUGGGUUAUUAGUGCUGUGGACUGUAAUCACAUUAGAAUUCAGACACCCAACGCCAACAAAGGAGAAAUCGGAAAGGUAACAGGCCAAUUGUAACAGCAAUUUAAAUAUUAUGCAUAUCGCUGCUAGGUGGUUCAAUCCACGAUAGCACAAUUUUUGGCAACAUUAUGAUAAGAGUUAAUUUUGAAAAUUAUGAAGUUGGAAAUUGCUUCUUAUUAGGAGAUGGUGGAUUUCCUUGCCGCGACUCUUCUUAAUCCUAAUACUGACACAGAGAAAUGAUAUCAGAUGAACCUUACAAGACCAUUGUGUUGUGAUUUUCGUGACUGAGUGGUAUUUCAAUAUUUUGGUCGUAUCAACUGCACUUUUCACCAGCAUUGAAAGUAUCUGGUGGCCAAGGACAAAAUAGAUUACGUGAACUCCUGUUAGUCAUUUUUUUCCUACUAAUUCUAUGAUGGAUAAAUCGUCCACAUUUGUUAUGCUCGUAAAGCUGCAUAAAGCCAGUUAAAAUAUGUAAAAACCUAAAGAUCCGCUCUCUAGUUAUAAGGGACCAAAAUAAAAGCAUCUAACUAGAUAUUCUGACCUAAAUUAUCUACUUUCUUAUCGAAACUGUAGUUAUCAAAUCUUUAGCAAUUUGAAAAAAAAUUAUGAAUAAAUAAUUCAAAUUUGUUAACUAAAUUUGUUGUAUUUUAAGUCUUAUUGGCCGUUGUACAAAAUUGUAGAUUCUGAGUUACAAUAUAUUGUAAACAAAUUCUGGUUUUACUAAAGAAGUGGUAUGACAUUUGUUAAUGUAAAAUAUAUUUAGCUAUUACAAAAAAAAAAAUGUAUUUAUGUGCAUUAUCUUGCUGGGCAGACUAUAGUUACUUAAUAUAUAAUACAAUUAUUUGAAACAAUACCAAAUGAUCAUAGUAAUAGAACAUAAAUUGUGGUAAUAACAUAGGUGAACCUAAAGAAUAAUACUAAUAUUUUUACUAUAAACUAAACUUAACUUAUGAUGUCAAAACAGUAAGAGAUGGAUAAAUCGUCCACAUUUGUUAUGCUUGUAAAGCUGCAUAAAACCAAUAAAAAUAUGUAAAAACCUAAAGAUCCGCUCUCUAGUUAUGAGGGACAAAAAUAAAAGCAUCUAACUAGAUAUUCUGACCUAAAUUAACUACUUUCUUAUCGAAAACUGUAGGUAUCUAAUUUUUAUGGCUCUAUUAUAUUAAAUGAGUAUAAUAUUAUAUUAAUUAAAAUAAUUUGUAAUAAUUUGUAGGAGAUGAUGAUUAACAAUAACAACAUUAAGUUUUCUAUGAGACACUUUUUCGAUACAAUACAUUUUUAUUUUUUCUUAACACUUAAUUUUUAAAUUAUUGUGAUGUAGUUUUAAAUUAUAGGAGCAUUGCCCAAAAUCUAUGAUUACUGAUUAAUAAUUGUUAGUAUUUAUUUUA